rnacentral:lncRNA from 1 species
UUAUGUAUAUGAAUUGCACUUACUGUAUUUUCCUCCAAGGCUUUGAACAGCUUCAACAAAGAGUUCAUGCAGUUGAGAUGUCCACCGCAAGCGUGGAAGCUCAGAUUUGUGGUAUUUCCUCACUCCAAUUCUAUGAGAACUACCUUUCAUAAUUUCUUUCUUCGACAUCGUAAUCGAAUUCGUAUGCAUAUAUUCAGAAUAAUGCUUGAGGAUCCUCCUCGGAGCUCUAGAGAUCUCUUCACAUGUAGUACAAGCUUUGUGAUGAAUGAGUUAAUAUGCGAAUGGGGUAGUAGUAUGGCAAGCUACCUAGAAUUAAUAUGAACG